rnacentral:rRNA from 1 species
CCACUUCGGUGGGGAUUAGUGGCGAACGGGUGAGUAACACGUGGGCAAUCUGCCCUGCACUCUGGGACAAGCCCUGGAAACGGGGUCUAAUACCGGAUACUGACCCGCUUGGGCAUCUUGGCUGUUCGAAAGCUCCGGCGGUGCAGGAUGAGCCCGCGGCCUAUCAGCUAGUUGGUGAGGUAAUGGCUCACCAAGGCGACGACGGGUAGCCGGCCUGAGAGGGCGACCGGCCACACUGGGACUGAGACACGGCCCAGACUCCUACGGGAGGCAGCAGUGGGGAAUAUUGCACAAUGGGCGAAAGCCUGAUGCAGCGACGCCGCGUGAGGGAUGACGGCCUUCGGGUUGUAAACCUCUUUCAGCAGGGAAGAAGCGAAAGUGACGGUACCUGCAGAAGAAGCGCCGGCUAACUACGUGCCAGCAGCCGCGGUAAUACGUAGGGCGCGAGCGUUGUCCGGAAUUAUUGGGCGUAAAGAGCUCGUAGGCGGCUUGUCACGUCGGUUGUGAAAGCCCGGGGCUUAACCCCGGGUCUGCAGUCGAUACGGGCAGGCUAGAGUUCGGUAGGGGAGAUCGGAAUUCCUGGUGUAGCGGUGAAAUGCGCA